CUGUGUUUUAUCACGCGACACUGACUUUCGAGGUUCUUGUGACUGCAAAGCACUCUGGGUAAUGUGAAUACUCUUAUCCUUUUAACCGACAAAUGGCCCGUACUUUACAAAGUUUUCCACUAGAGACGUACUGUAACGUACCCGCUUCCAAAAUACAUUAAUAUUGGAGGCAAGUGUCGGACUUUUUUUUUUUUUUUUUGGGUUCCAGCUUCUUCACUCUUGGCACUUCCUGCUUCUCUCAGCUGUUGCUGGUUGUAAACUGAUUAUGGUUGUUGGCGCUGGCUGCCAUCAAACGGAAUAUUCGCCUUUUGCCAAAAGACAUGUUGACAAUACAAGACAGUCUCCUCGCUCAUCUUUGUGCUGACCUGAUCGCUGACUGUACAACAACGCACGCCACAAAUCAGAACAAGACUGCAUUGCCAAGGGAAACCAAGCCAAAAAAGAUCAAAGGAGACCUUUCUUGAGCAGCAUAGGACGACAUCCGUCAGUGGAAGCAAGAGACUCUGGAGCAGAAAUCACCAUCGUACAUUUUUGCUUCCAUCAGUCGCAUUGUAAACUAGACGGUGGGUUUUUAUUAGACAUUGGGGGGGAAAAAGGGGACACUGAGAAGUGACCUUUCAGGAUCACACCUGUUUUCCACCGUCCGUAGCCUGAGAAUGACAGGAAUAACAUUCAGUUUUUUUUUUAAUAAGACGACAGCUGGGUCAUAAUGAAAGGAGAUGCGCAUCACACACAAGGAUUUUAUUUCAAAUGUGGUUAAAGAGAAGCACCCAGUUUCAUGGACGCAGAGGCACAAUCUUCUCACGCAAUGGUGGCUUCAACGAACACACUCCACUAACGACAAAACAAAAUGACAUCCUGGAUGGGAGAAGGGGUUGUCAUUGACGAAAUGCAGAGGUCAAAUUAUAUCAGGGGUUCACAAUGUGGACCCCAAAAUAACAUGUCAAAAGAAAACAUGUGGACCAUUUUUUUAAACAAAAAAUUUGAUUAAAUUUGUAUUGUUCAACUCAGGUUUUCCGCAUAACAUUUGAGUAAAUCAGUAGAACAGUGUUCAAUAUAAAUAGAACAGCGUAGCUUGAAUCCACAUUAAUCAUAGUUUUAUGGAUUUUCCUUAUGCCGCAGCAACAUUGUACAUCAAACAUAAAUAGAUACAGCAGAUGUGUUGCUGGCUUGUGUGAACUUGAUGAACAUUCUCUCAGUCUAAGACGCUGGAAACAAACAAACAAAUAAUGCAUGGACUUGAAAAGACCCAGUCCAUGUAGUGGUUUUCCAUAAAACCUGUAAUUACAAAGGAUUAUUGCAAAGCAACAAAAAGACAAUCUGGGGACAGAAGUGUAGGUAGUCAUUCUUUGGGGCAUUUUUUUUUUUUUUUUUUUUAACAAGUCCUGUAUUUCCCCCAAAUUAAGUCUUGCAGCAGAUAAUAAUGGAUAUACAGUAUUUACAUCAAAAUAAAAAGCACACAACAUAUUUCUGCGUAACAUUUGGCACAGCUAGACAGUAUGUGGCAUUUAAACCAGUCAAGUGCGCUUGUGACAAAUAACAUCUUCACAUCACUUUGGUUGAGGAGCGCACGUCUACCAUCAAACACAAGAUGUCUCACACACUUCAAGCAAGAAUAGAAGGCACACAAACAUCCUGUUUAUUUGGUAAGUAACCUGUUGUGCCAGUUUAAUAUAUUUAGAUCAUGACUGGAUGUAAACGUCCGACUGAAACUGUACGUGUGAAGUUUGACUGCUUGAUUGUUGGCGUACUUCCGAUGAGCGGGUGAAUGCGUUGAAGAUGUCGACCAUAUUGACAGUCGCAAUAAGGUGCAACUACUGAUGCCUUGGUGUUCAUUUUGUGAAAACAAAUAAUUUGGUUAAAGUAUAAAAUAUUCCAAAUGUGUCACUGCUGUAGCGGUGCAUUUAUUGGCCAUUUAUUGGAGACAGGAUUCACCGGUAAGACCAAGUCUUUGCUUUCAGGCAUGACUAAUUUUUAGAAAUGAAUGAGCAACUUUGCAUUGGCUGGAUUAUUUUGGAUAUUA